UACGUAGGGGGCAAGCGUUGUCCGGAUUUAUUGGGCGUAAAGAGCGUGUAGGCGGUCAGACAGGUAAGCUGUGAAAACUCGAGGCUCAACCUCGAGACGUCGGUUGAAACCGUCUGGCUAGAGUCCGGAAGAGGAGAGUGGAAUUCCGGGUGUAGCGGUGGAAUGCGUGGAGAUCCGGAGGAAGACCGGUGGCGAAGGCGGCCUGCUGGGCAGUUUCUGACACUGAUGCGCGACAGCGUGGGGAGCAAACAGG
rnacentral:rRNA from 1 species